GUGGUUAAUUCUAAUAAUUUCUCCAUCGAAAGAACGCAUCAGAAUCAAGAAUCAAAAUUAACACUUGUUGUUUUUUUUUCUUUUUCUUAUUUUUAUACAGUUCUAAAGCAACAGUAAUGUGAAGGAUAUUUAGUAAUUUAAUUUUAUUUUAGUAACUGGAAGAGUAUUUUUGUGACAGUUCCUCUUGUGUUUAUCAUUCUCAUCAUUUUUCUUGGAAACCUUCUUGUUAUUCUUGCCAUCUCCAGAGAACACAGUCUGAAACCUGUGCAACACUGGUUUAUAGCCUCGCUAGCAGUUACUGAUAUGCUCAUAGGGGUGGUAGUUGUCCCAUUUUCCUUAUAUCAGGUAGAUA